GUGUAUACAUGUAAGGUCAUGGUCUACUUUCACUUUUAACAUGUAUCCAGUUUUCCCAACAUCAUUUAUUGAAUACACUGUCUUUACCCCAUU